GACCCCGUAACUCAGUGGUAGAGUGUUACCUUGACAUGGUAAAAGUCGUUGGUUCAAGUCCAAUCGGGGUCACCA
rnacentral:tRNA from 5 species